rnacentral:rRNA from 1 species
CAGCCGCCGCGGUAAUACAGAGGGUGCAAGCGUUAAUCGGAAUUACUGUGCGUAAAGCGCGCGUAGGUGGUUUGUUAAGUUGGAUGUGAAAGCCCCGGGCUCAACCUGGGAACUGCAUCCAAAACUGGCAAGCUAGAGUACGGUAGAGGGUGGUGGAAUUUCCUGUGUAGCGGUGAAAUGCGUAGAUAUAGGAAGGAACACCAGUGGCGAAGGCGACCACCUGGACUGAUACUGACACUGAGGUGCGAAAGCGUGGGGAGCAAACAGGAUUAGAUACCCCUGUAGUCCCUGUCUCUUAUAC